rnacentral:rRNA from 1 species
CCUACGGGAGGCUGCAGUGAGGAAUAUUGGUCAAUGGUCGGGAGACUGAACCAGCCAAGCCGCGUGAGGGAGGAAGGUACAGAGUAUCGUAAACCUCUUUUGUCAGGGAACAAAGACUGGGACGCGUCUCCGGAUGAGUGUACCUGAAGAAAAAGCAUCGGCUAACUCCGUGCCAGCAGCCGCGGUAAUACGGAGGAUGCGAGAGUUAUCCGGAUUUAUGGGGUUAAAAGGGUGCGCAGGCGGUCUGUUAAGUCAGCGUGCAAACCCCGGGGCUCAACCCCGGCCCGCCGUUGAAACUGGCAGUCUCGAGUUGGAGAGAAGUAUGCGGAAUGCGCGGUGUAGCGGUGAAAUGCAUAGAUAUCGCGCAGAACUCCGAUUGCGAAGGCAGCAUGCCGGCUCCACACUGACGCUGAGGCACGAAAGCGUGGGUAUCGAACAGGAUUAGAUACCCGUGUAGUC